AAAUAAUAAUUUAAUAAUAAAUAAUAAACUGUGUGAUUUGGCGCUUUUGUGCUGACACGUGACAACCGACUCCCUUGUUGUUUUCACACGUCAAACGCAAACUACGAAAAAAUUACCUCAGAAAUCCACAAACGAAUGAAAUAACACUACAAGACAUCACUUGAGAGAUGGAGUGUUGCAUACGACGCGUAAAGUUUCACCUUGUAUAGCUCAGUGGUGGAUCAUCGCAGCCCAAAAGAAAGCAGUUGAGACCCUUGAACUUCUCCCGAAAAG